CCAGGUUCCUCUGAGCCACGUUUCAGGAACUAUUGCAGUCGCUGUGAUAGUUUAUUUGUUUGUAGUAGGGCUAUUAUUUAUCAUCUUUUUUAAAUACAUGUUGUCAUGGCCAAAAUUUCAAAGAUUGACCACCACUUCAAGAUGAGAGGUCCUACAAUUUAAGGCCUGUAAAAUAUCACAAGCUGUCUUCUGCAAUGUGUGUGGCUGCUGUUAAAAUUGUUUCGGGAUCCUAAUUGCAUUUAAUCAGACUGCAAGUUGUGCUCAAGAACAGCCGAAAGGGAUUCUUGCAAAGCUGCAGUUUCUUGGUUUAUAAAUGGAAUAAUGACAGAGGUAAACAUAUAUAUUGGCAAGGCAGGGAGUUGGGAGGAGAAUGUAUC